UGCCAGCCGCCGCGGUAAUACAGAGGGUGCACACGUUGCUCGGAAUCACUGGGCGUAAAGCGCGUGUAGGCUGAUAGGCAAGUCGGGUGUGAAAUCCCUGGGCUCAACCUAGGAACUGCAUCCGAAACUGCCUGUCUUGAGUACUGGAGAGGGAAGCGGAAUUCCUGGUGUAGAGGUGAAAUUCGUAGAUAUUGGGAAGAACACCAGUGGCGAAGGCGGCUAACUGGCUCGGUACUGACGCUGAGAUGCGAAAGCGUGGGGAGCAAACAGGAUUAGAUA
rnacentral:rRNA from 1 species